CGGUGAUAUAUUUUUGGCAGCUCAAGUGAAAAUCGUAAAAGAUUUUUCCGUGUUUUUCCUGUCUUCUUGGAAAGAUAUGAUCCCCAUGACAUCUCACAACCAAGAGAAUAUCUGAUAAUCAUUAAACUGUUACAUUUGUGAAAACUAAACAAGUCAGCAAAUAAGGUUAUAUCAUCACCACAUGCCCCUCAUACGCUGUCCUUUGCAUGUUCCUCCUACAGCUGUGACACCAACUUUCAAUCUGUUUUACAACUUUUUAUGAGCAUUCCAAGAUAACAGAGGAGCACAGGUGUGAGAGGAAGCUCCUCCCACCGCGCAGAUUGUGGUUUGCAUGAGUUUGGCUGAUCAGAGCAGAGUUAGAGAAUCCAGGCGUUUUCCUCUGCUGUUCGACCACAAUGGAGGACACCUACCAGCACCCCGUUUUCCUGGAGAGUCCCAGACCUCUAGAGGAAGUCAGGAGGAAAGUGGAGCUUUAUUUUUGCGUGAGGCGCAGAUCAGGCGGAGGAGAGUGCGGACAUCUGACCGCUGUGCGUCAAAACAUCUACAGGAUCGACUUCAAACACCAACGAGACCAGCAGGAAGUCCUGAGAAGAUCCCUCCAUGUCGUGGAGCUGGAAGAUGAUCAUGUGGAGAUCAGAGUCAGAAGCAGCUUGGAACCUCCCACCUCCUCCUCCAGCCGCAAUACCUCACCUUCUCCAGCAGAGAACUCAGAGGAUGAUCCUGAUGAAGAUGCUGAGCUGCUCUUUGAUGAUCAACAGUCUCCGCUCCUGGAAGAAAGCCUCUUCUCUGAGCAGGAGCUCGUCCCUGAAUGCUCCGUGGAGCUUCACCCACCAGAGGGAAGGGCUUUAUAUGUGGCGACAGCAGAUUAUUCUGGUGAUGAGAAACCGGAGCGGGGCACAGACUCUGUCGGGUCUUGUGAUGGACUAAGAAUAGACAGCAUGGAUCCGGAGGGAGACAUGGUCGCUGCUGGACAGGAAGAACUCAGAGAGGCUGCUGCUGCUGCUUGUGGGGGCAUGUUCACGUUGAGAUUGUUCAGGAAGCCCUUGAGACACAGGAAGUGAGAAAUCUUUUUUAACACUUUCACAAAUCCCUCAAAUAUGGAGCAGUUUGCAGACUCAGCACUGAACCACGGACAAACGUCUUCCUGCUCUUCCCUCAGACGGACGCUCUGGUGUCUCCCAUGGUCGGCCACUACCACCUGUCUACUCGUCUAGAAACAUCCUAGAAAACAUAGUUGGCUCUCAUCUCACUGAAUACUUCAUAGAAGCAGCAGGAGACGAAUGGAUCCCGGGGGACUAUGUGCUGGUAGAGGGACUCCCUGGACUUCCUUCCAGCGCAGUGUUCUUCCUCGAUCUCAUUCCAUGGGAUGGAGAUGAAGAUGGAACUGCAGUUCAGGUGGGAUCUUCUUUCUGGAGAAGUUUUCAGUGUAAGAAUUUUAUCAUUCAAACAAACUAAUUGGGCUGUUUUUGAUUGUCUUCAGAUUCUCAGGUUGGGGAUCAACAACAUCCUAACUUCCUGUGACGACAGAGGCAUCAGAUCUGUGGCUCUUCCUGCACUCGGAGAUGGAAUUGCCCUUAGUUUUCCUAUCAGUUUGGUAGCCAGAGUCAUACUGGAAGAGCUUUAUAAAUAUGAACGUGAGCGAGCCAGCAGCACAGACCUCUCAGUUCGUAUUGUCCUUCUGCCUGAAAACGAAGAAGCUAAAGAGGUGAGAAAAACAGAUUUUGCCGUUCUAAAAAAUAUUUUCCAACUUUCAUUGUUCUUAUGUAUUACUGUAGAAAUGUGACUGAACAUCAUCUUACUUUACACGUU
ensembl:lncRNA